AAAUUGCAGUUGAUACUGGAUAUCUUGAGUGCAGUUGAGGCAGGCGGGAAUUCGUGGUGUAGCGGUGAAAUGCUUAGAUAUCACGAAGAACUCCGAUUGCGAAGGCAGCCUGCUAAGCUGCAACUGACAUUGAGGCUCGAAAGUGUGGGUAUCAAACAGGAUUAGAUACCCUGGUAGUCCACACGGUAAACGAUGAAUACUCGCUGUUUGCGAUAUACUGCAAGCGGCCAAGCGAAAGCGUUAAGUAUUCCACCUGGGGAGUACGCCGGCAACGGUGAAACUCAAAGGAACUGACGGGGGCCCGCACAAGCGGAGGAACAUGUGGUUUAAUUCGAUGAUACGCGAGGAACCUUACCCGGGCUUAAAUUGCAGAUGAAUUACGGUGAAAGCCGUAAGCCGCAAGGCAUCUGUGAAGGUGCUGCAUGGUUGUCGUCAGCUCGUGCCGUGAGGUGUCGGCUUAAGUGCCAUAACGAGCGCAACCCUUGUUGUCAGUUACUAACAGGUUCCGCUGAGGACUCUGACAAGACUGCCAUCGUAAGGUGUGAGGAAGGUGGGGAUGACGUCAAAUCAGCACGGCCCUUACGUCCGGGGCUACACACGUGUUACAAUGGGGGGUACAGAGGGUCGCUACCACGCGAGUGGAUGCCAAUCCCCAAAACCUCUCUCAGUUCGGACUGGAGUCUGCAACCCGACUCCACGAAGCUGGAUUCGCUAGUAAUCGCGCAUCAGCCACGGCGCGGUGAAUACGUUCCCGGGCCUUGUACACACCGCCCGUCAAGCCAUGGGAGCCGGGGGUACCUGAAGUGCGUAACCGCGAGGAGCGCCCUAGGGUAAAACUGGUGACUGGGGCUAAGUC
rnacentral:rRNA from 1 species